GAUGAACGCUGGCGGCGUGCCUAAUACAUGCAAGUCGAGCGAACAGACGAGGAGCUUGCUCCUCUGACGUUAGCGGCGGACGGGUGAGUAACACGUGGAUAACCUACCUAUAAGACUGGGAUAACUUCGGGAAACCGGAGCUAAUACCGGAUAAUAUAUUGAACCGCAUGGUUCAAUAGUGAAAGACGGUUUUGCUGUCACUUAUAGAUGGAUCCGCGCCGCAUUAGCUAGUUGGUAAGGUAACGGCUUACCAAGGCAACGAUGCGUAGCCGACCUGAGAGGGGGAUCGGCCACACUGGAACUGAGACACGGUCCAGACUCCUACGGGAGGCAGCAGUAGGGAAUGUUCCGCAAUGGGCGAAAGCCUGACGGAGCAACGCCGCGUGAAUGAUGAAGGUCUUCGGAUCGUAAAACUCUGUUAUUAGGGAAGAACAAAUGUGUAAGUAACUAUGCACGUCUUGACGGUACCUAAUCAGAAAGCCACGGCUAACUACGUG
rnacentral:rRNA from 1 species